AUUCGUUUACAGGAUAUCGAACAGUUCAGACAAUAAUUCUAAUCGAAAAUUUAUUAUGAAACUGACUAUUGUACUCUUUGCUUUAGCUUUGUUCAGCCAAAGCAAAGGUAAAUAUCUGACGAGAUGCAAACAACUAAAUGGCUUAGCGGGAAACCAAUUGAGAAGCUGGGAUUGUUUUGACCAAAGUGAGACUUCGCAGAACAUCGAUGUCACCGCCAAACCCAGCAGCGACGAUUCCCGGGGCUACUGGGAUUUAAGUAUCAAUAAUAUAUAUACGUGCACAGUUACUAACGCUGAUAAUGGCCAGAAUUGCAACGCUUAUUAUAUGUUUAAACGGUUACGCGAACAGCUGAACAUCUAAUAUUAAAUUAUCCGACGCCCAUGAUCAUCCUCAAUACCAAAGGAACCACAAACAACUCAUAACGGACGACUUUUCAAAGCUGCAACCUGUGCUAACAAAAUCUAUUAGCGGCAUGCCUUCGACAGCGUAUGACUGAAAGACCAAGUGCUAAGGAAAACCUCUCCUCAACAUAAGCGCCUGCUGCAAAUGGAUAUACACAUCUAAAAACUCGAAGCAACACAUAAUUAGCUAUAAUUUGUAUGUACUUACCGUAAUAAAAUCAUUCGUGUCAUAUUUGUUCAUAUCAAAAAAAAAAUCGAAAUUU